GACUGGGAUAACACCUGGAAACAGAUGCUAAUACCGGAUAACAACACUAGACGCAUGUCUAGAGUUUGAAAGAUGGUUCUGCUAUCACUCUUGGAUGGACCUGCGGUGCAUUAGCUAGUUGGUAAGGUAACGGCUUACCAAGGCAAUGAUGCAUAGCCGAGUUGAGAGACUGAUCGGCCACAUUGGGACUGAGACACGGCCCAAACUCCUACGGGAGGCAGCAGUAGGGAAUCUUCCACAAUGGACGAAAGUCUGAUGGAGCAACGCCGCGUGAGUGAAGAAGGGUUUCGGCUCGUAAAGCUCUGUUGGUAGUGAAGAAAGAUAGAGGUAGUAACUGGCCUUUAUUUGACGGUAAUUACUUAGAAAGUCACGGCUAACUACGUGCCAGCAGCCGCGGUAAUACGUAGGUGGCAAGCGUUGUCCGGAUUUAUUGGGCGUAAAGCGAGUGCAGGCGGUUCAAUAAGUCUGAUGUGAAUGCCUUCGGCUCAACCGGAGAAUUGCAUCAGAAACUGUUGAACUUGAGUGCAGAAGAGGAGAGUGGAACUCCAUGUGUAGCGGUGGAAUGCGUAGAUAUAUGGAAGAACACCAGUGGCGAAGGCGGCUCUCUGGUCUGCAACUGACGCUGAGGCUCGAAAGCAUGGGUAGCGAACAGGAUUAGAUACCCUGGUAGUCCAUGCCGUAAACGAUGAGUAUAGAGUGUUGGGAGGUUUCCGCCUCUCAGUGCUGCAG
rnacentral:rRNA from 1 species